CGCUAGGCGGCGCUAUACGAUCUUUGGUCUGCGCAAAAUUUGAAAUGGGAAAACAGGACACGACAAGUUUGGGAUCACUCCUUGGAGGAAGUCAUUAAGAGAAGAUGAUGGAGCCCAGAACCUGACUCUGACAAGUUUGGCCUCACAGAACAUGAUGAAGAUGACUCUGAUGUUAGCCGUAGCACAGACAGUGAAGAUUUGGGAAGGCCUCAUUGCCAGGUGAAUCUGCUGCCAUGGCCGCCUACAUGAACAUUUAGGCUGGCUAGCGUCAUGGUGCGAGUGGACUGAGCGAUGAAAUCUCCAAAGUGAAGAGGCAGGUUACGUCAUAAAGAGCACAGAGAUGAUUCAUGAGGAUGCCAAGGAAAGGAAGUAAC